rnacentral:rRNA from 1 species
AUUGAACGCUGGCGGCAUGCUUUACACAUGCAAGUCGAACGGUAACAGGCCGCAAGGUGCUGACGAGUGGCGAACGGGUGAGUAAUGCAUCGGAACGUGCCCAGUCGUGGGGGAUAACUACUCGAAAGAGUAGCUAAUACCGCAUACGAUCUAUGGAUGAAAGCGGGGGACCGUAAGGCCUCGCGCGAGUGGAGCGGCCGAUGUCAGAUUAGGUAGUUGGUGGGGUAAAGGCUCACCAAGCCAACGAUCUGUAGCUGGUCUGAGAGGACGACCAGCCACACUGGGACUGAGACACGGCCCAGACUCCUACGGGAGGCAGCAGUGGGGAAUUUUGGACAAUGGGCGCAAGCCUGAUCCAGCAAUGCCGCGUGCAGGAAGAAGGCCUUCGGGUUGUAAACUGCUUUUGUACGGAACGAAACGGCUCUGGUUAAUACCCGGGGCUAAUGACGGUACCGUAAGAAUAAGCACCGGCUAACUACGUG